AACCCUAGAAAGAUAGUCUGCGUAAAAAUUACGCAUGCGUUUGCGAAAUAUAGCUCUAUCUUUCUUAAUAGUGGGAAUCCAUAGAUGUGCGUUUAGGACAUCUCAUUCGUCGCUGGGAGCUUCCAUAUGGCGCAAGUGGCAGUAAGAUAUUGGUGCAACAAUGGGAAGUAGUAAUUUGGACGAAGACCGUAUCCUGGCCAGUCUCAUGCAAAGUGACGACGAGCUUCCCUGUGAGGAUACCGAUUGUGAAGUAGGUGACCAUGAGAGUGAAGAUGACGUGCAGAGCGACACAAAAGAAGCUUUUAUAGAUGACUUAGAAGUAGACAGAAGAAAAUACUGAAGAACCUGUAGUAAAAAAAGGAAUUUACUGUACUUUUUGCCCUUCUAAAAUAAGGCGAAGGGCAAAUGCGUCUUGUAAUGUGCCAAAACUGUUUGUAACUGUUUUUUAUAGAAUUCUAUGUUCCUAUAAUAUGUAUAGGAUAUUGUUAUUGUUGAUUAUGUGAAAAAAAGGCCGAUUAUCAUGGUUAAAAAUAAUUUAUAGCAGUAAAAGUAAAUGUUAAAAAGUUUAUUUGAUUUAUGACUGAAGUUUAUAAGUUUGGUUAUUUUUUAUUAAAAAUAUAUUUAUAAAUAUAU